rnacentral:rRNA from 2 species
UGGGAUUGCCUUAGUAACGGCGAGUGAAGCGGCAAAAGCUCAAAUUUGAAAUCUGGUACCUUUGGUGCCCGAGUUGUAAUUUGUAGAGUACCACUUUGGGACUAUACUUUGCCUAUGUUCCUUGGAACAGGACGUCAUGGAGGGUGAGAAUCCCGUGUGGCGAGGGUGUUAGUUCUUUGUAAAGGGUGCUCGAAGAGUCGAGUUGUUUGGGAAUGCAGCUCUAAGUGGGUGGUAAAUUCCAUCUAAAGCUAAAUACAGGCGAGAGACCGAUAGCGAACAAGUACAGUGAUGGAAAGAUGAAAAGAACUUUGAAAAGAGAGUGAAAAAGUACGUGAAAUUGUUGAAAGGGAAGGGCAUUUGAUCAGACAUGGUGUUUUGCGCCCCUCGCUCCUUGUGGGUGGGGGACUCUCGCAGCUCACUGGGCCAGCAUCAGUUUUUGCGGCAGGACAAAACCUUGGGAAUGUAGCUGUGCGCCUCGGUGUACAGUGUUAUAGCUCUUGGGAAUACUGCCAGCGGGGACUGAGGACUGCGAUACUUGUUAUCUAGGAUGCUGGCAUAAUGGUUAUAUGCCGCCCGUCUUGAAACACGGACCAAGGAGUCUAACGUCUAUGCGAGUGUUUGGGUGUUAAACCCGUACGCGUAAUGAAAGUGAACGUAGGUUGGGGCCCUGUUAUGGGGUGCACAAUCGACCGAUCCUGAUGUCUUCGGAUGGAUUUGAGUAAGAGCAUAGCUGUUGGGACCCGAAAGAUGGUGAACUAUGCCUGAAUAGGGUGAAGCCAGAGGAAACUCUGGUGGAGGCUCGUAGCGGUUCUGACGUGCAAAUCGAUCGUCGAAUUUGGGUAUA